CGGAAGUGAAGCCUCCGCCGGAAGUGCCGCCGCCUUCUUCCCCACGGCCCCGUGCCGACGGACCCGUCCUGUUGUGUCGCCCCCUCCCCGGCUGCGUACGUACCUGGGAUCGCGUCAUAAUUAAUAUGCAUAUUUGGGCCCAGAGAUGUGAAGCUAGAAAACGGUGAAAAUGAAAUCUAUGGGUGCAAUAAUUUCAGAAGGACGUCUGUCUUAUAAACAGGAUAUACUUGAAGGUGAAACUCCUCAAGGAAGCCAUUUUGGAUUGUGCCGGUGUAGGCCUGCUCAUUUGUACACUUCACCUGCCCAUACCUAGGCUUCAAUGUUUCUACAAAUUGGAUCAGCGGCAAUGGCUAAGAGAAAGAGGACCCUUGAUGACAACUUUCACCGAAAGCUGUUCCAAUGAAGGGAACAUCACAACCAACCUGAAGGGGCACACAGGAGGAAGCCUCGUGAGGAAGCCUUGUUUUGACCCUCUUAUGUGUUCUGAUGGCAAAAAGCAAGGAGACAUGUGGGUUGAGAGAAUAUGAUUGGAGAAAGAGGGCAAGUCCUGUCUGAUGUAGGUUGAGAGAGAGCUACUAAAUGAAGGCUGGAGUGUUGACGGCUGCAUUUCCACACAAAGUGUUAGGGGACCAGAGACCCACUCUGCAAGAGCCUACUUCUGUUAGCCACUGUGCAAGAUGGCAAUAUUUAGGGCCGAACUCUAUGCUGAUACAUCUUCAAGUGUUCUUUAUCUUUAACUAAACUUUUAUUUUUCAAGCCGAGUAUGCUUACAUUUUUGUCUCUCACUUCAAUAUUUUAAACAUGUGCCUCAGGAUGUUGAGAUAAGCAAGCCCUAAGUUGUAGCUAUCCCUUCCUCUCAAAUUAUAGUCUUAACUAGGCAUGCUUGGGAAUGGCCAGCUCUUGUAUGAGUAUGAAUAGGAUCCCUGAAUAAAACCCCCAUGCUCCCUCUGUUCAAAGAGGGCAUCAUUUUGGAAACAAAAUAAUCUCUUUUUGUGGUAAGGCAAUAAACCAAUCUGUGGUGAUAUCUUUAUUGUACAAAUAUAGCAUGCCUGGAGAUCAGAGAGAUGGAGGAGCACCUUACCUUGCCAACUUCCCAGCUGAAAAGAGAAUGAGUUCCUGUUUCCUCUUGCUCAUAUUCCUCUCUCCACCCAGCCAUCUCACUUCCUGUCUCUGCCCAGACAUCUCACUUCCUGUCUGUCUCUUAGCAAGUGGCAAGCUCCACCCUCUGAUCUUCAGACACCCUUUAUUUGUACAAACAAGAUAUCACCACACCAAUCUCUGUACUUGAUGUUGCAGCUGUACUUGUUUGGUUUCGCACUUGCUAACAUAAACCCACUGUGUUCAAUUUCACUGCUGAGCUACUUGGAACUCACUGCAUGAGAUUUGGACCUGAUAAAACUCUAGUAUCUUGCAUCUCAUCCUAUAGGACUAUUGUUAGUUCUUUACACAGGAGGAAUGAAUGGGCUUUCAUUCAAACUUAAUAUAGCCCAGCAUCAAGUAGUCACCUUAAUGAUCCUUAGACACUCCAAUGGUAAUACUAUAGCUAAAGGAAAGACGAGAGACAGUAUUGCUCAGUAGACAUUCUCUGAUAAGCAUUAUUUGAAUCAAAUUUUCCCUGGAUGAAUUGACCAAAAUAAAUGACCUUAUCUUUUACAGUAUAAUAGUCUUAGUGAGCAAGCUUCACUUCAAAUGGAUUUCUAAUCCAUUAGAUUAGUUGUUGCUUGCAUUUCUUGUGAGGUCAAUCAAUACUGAAAAUUGAAGACAAACUUAUUUGAAUUCUAAUUAAAGUCCUUUUAUUAACAAUUCAACAUUGAAAUAUUUAGAAGCAUGGAAGUUUAUUGAGAAUGUCUUGUGCUUUCUAGACCAUUUCACUCUCCAGAAGCAAAAUAUGAUUUAUGAUGCACAUUUUUGUGUAUUUUCCUUGAAUAUACAGGCAUGCUUGUGUGUUAUAUGUACUAUUCAAAACAUGUAUAAUAAUUAAUGCAUCAUAGAUAUAAUUUCAUUUCUGCCUUUUUCUUUCUGAUAACUCAUAAGUAUUUUGUUGUUAGAUAUCUAACUAGUCUGUGAAUUAGUAGACAUCUAGGUUAUCUUCAAUGUUUUCUAUUAAAUAUUAUUUAGUGCAAGUGUA